rnacentral:rRNA from 1 species
UACAGAGGGCGCGAGCGUUGUCCGGAAUCACUGGGCGUAAAGGGCGCGUAGGUGGCCACUAUAAGGCUGCGGUGAAAGUUCGGGGCUCAACCCCGAAUCUGCCGCGGCGACUGUAGGGCUUGGGCACCGUAGAGGCAGAUGGAAUUCCGGGUGUAGCGGUGGAAUGCGUAGAGAUCCGGAAGAACACCAGUGGCGAAGGCGGCUCACUGGUCCAUUACUGACGCUGAGGUGCGAAAGCGUGGGGAGCAAACAGG